GACGAACGCUGGCGGCGUGCUUAACACAUGCCAGUCGAACGGAAAGGCCUUUUCGGAGGUACUCGAGUGGCGAACGGGUGAGUAACACGUGGGUGAUCUGCCCUGCACUCUGGGAUAAGCCUGGGAAACUGGGUCUAAUACCGGAUAGGACCGCACUUUAGUGUGUGUGGUGGAAAGUUUUUUCGGUGUAGGAUGAGCCCGCGGCCUAUCAGCUUAUUGGUGGGGUAAUGGCCUACCAAGGCGGCGACGGGUAGCCGGACUGAGAGGUUGGUCGGCCACAUUGGGACUGAGGUACGGCCCAGACUCCUACGGGAGGCAGCAGUGGGGAAUAUUGCACAAUGGGCGCAAGCCUGAUGCAGCGACGCCGCGUGGGGGAUGACGGCCUUCGGGUUGUAAACUCCUUUCGCCAGGGACGAAGCGUUUUGUGACGGUACCUGGAGAAGAAGCACCGGCUAACUACGUG
rnacentral:rRNA from 1 species